AAUAGAGGAACAAAGGCUAAAACCAUCACGUCCUGUGAUAACGCCUUCGUGACCAACAUCCUGUUGC
rfam:Lysinibacillus xylanilyticus strain DSM 23493 Scaffold6, whole genome shotgun sequence.